rnacentral:rRNA from 1 species
AGUGAACGCUGGCGGCGUGCUUAACACAUGCAAGUCGAACGAGAACGGAUUAUAGCUUGCUAUAAUUGUCAGCUAAGUGGCGCACGGGUGAGUAAUGUAUAGGUAAUAUGCCUCUUACUAAGGGAUAACAAAUGGAAACGUUUGCUAAUACCUUAUACUCCUUAUUAACAGAAGUUAAUAAGAGAAAGAUUUAUUGGUAAGAGAUUAGCCUGUAUUGUAUCAGUUAGUUGGUGGGGUAAUGGCUUACCAAGACUAUGACACAUAACUGGUUUGAGAGGAUGAUCAGUCACACUGGAACUGAUACACGGUCCAGACUCCUACGGGAGGCAGCAGUGGGGAAUAUUGCACAAUGGACGAAAGUCUGAUGCAGCAACGCCGCGUGGAGGAUGACACAUUUCGGUGCGUAAACUCCUUUUAUAUGAGAAGAUAAUGACGGUAUUAUAUGAAUAAGCACCGGCUAACUCCGUGCCAGCCGCCGCCGUAACAC